UGCAGCGACGCCGCGUGAGGGAUGAAGGCCUUCGGGUUGUAAACCUCUUUCAGCAGGGACGAAGCGAAAGUGACGGUACCUGCAGAAGAAGCACCGGCUAACUACGUGCCAGCAGCCGCGGUAAUACGUAGGGUGCGAGCGUUGUCCGGAAUUACUGGGCGUAAAGAGUUCGUAGGCGGUUUGUCACGUCGUCUGUGAAAACCCAUCGCUCAACGAUGGGCCUGCAGGCGAUACGGGCAGACUUGAGUACUGCAGGGGAGACUGGAAUUCCUGGUGUAGCGGUGAAAUGCGCAGAUAUCAGGAGGAACACCGGUGGCGAAGGCGGGUCUCUGGGCAGUAACUGACGCUGAGGAACGAAAGCGUGGGUAGCAAACAGGAUUAGAUACCCUGGUAGUCCACGCCGUAAACGGUGGGCGCUAGGUGUGGGUUCCUUCCACGGGAUCUGUGCCGUAGCUAACGCAUUAAGCGCCCCGCCUGGGGAGUACGGCCGCAAGGCUAAAACUCAAAGGAAUUGACGGGGGCCCGCACAAGCGGCGGAGCAUGUGGAUUAAUUCGAUGCAACGCGAAGAACCUUACCUGGGUUUGACAUAUACUGGAAAGCUGCAGAGAUGUAGCCCCCCUUGUGGCCGG
rnacentral:rRNA from 1 species